UACGAAGGGGGCUAGCGUUGCUCGGAAUUACUGGGCGUAAAGGGCGCGUAGGCUGACAACUUAGUCAGAGGUGAAAGCCCAGGGCUCAACCUUGGAAUUGCCUUUGAUACUGGUUGUCUUGAGUUCGGGAGAGGUGAGUGGAAUGCCGAGUGUAGAGGUGAAAUUCGUAGAUAUUCGGCGGAACACCAGUGGCGAAGGCGACUCACUGGCCCGAUACUGACGCUGAGGCGCGAAAGCGUGGGGAGCAAACAGG
rnacentral:rRNA from 1 species